rnacentral:rRNA from 1 species
UACGUAGGGUGCGAGCGUUGUCCGGAAUUAUUGGGCGUAAAGAGCUUGUAGGCGGUCUGUCGCGUCUGCUGUGAAAAUCCGGGGCUCAACCCCGGACUUGCAGUAGGUACGGGCAGACUAGAGUGUGGUAGGGGAGACUGGAAUUCCUGGUGUAGCGGUGAAAUGCGCAGAUAUCAGGAGGAACACCGAUGGCGAAGGCAGGUCUCUGGGCCACUACUGACGCUGAGGCACGAAAGCGUGGGGAGCAAACAGG